rnacentral:lncRNA from 1 species
GGAAGUUUGAGAUACUCCCAUGUAACAAUAGGGUUUCUGUGAUAUUUAGUUGUGCCCUUUGGGGGAAUGAGAGAUUCCUUUGAGAGAAUGUAUGUAGCAGGCCACUCCUCCUUCCAUCCCCAAUGGGCUUUGGGAUAGGUAUAAAAACACCACCACCCCCUUCUGCAUCAGGACCAGUUGAAGUGCAAUAUCGACACCUUUACGGUACAAUUCAGGAUCCAGACUCUAACCUCAAGGCAUGUUGACCAGGAAUUUUCUCAUCCUCUGCUCUCUGGCAGCUGUGCUAGUACAAGCUGACCUUGAUACUAAUAGCAAUCGUGCUUCCCAAGCCAUUUCCACAGAUAAGGACUCAACCUCGGAUGAAGCACCAACUGAGAGCAUGAAUGCCAUCUCCUCGGACCAGUCUAACCAUGUAAGCCGCACAAGUGUAGAAGUUGGACAAGAUGCUUCUAAACCGAACGGGGUGACUGGACCUGGUGGCACGGCAAACAGUGUUGAGGACCGUGAAGAGAAUGAGAGCUCCGAUGAAGGUGUGAGAAAAAGAAUCGUUCCUCCACCUCCUCCUCCUGCUGCUCCACAACAAAGGUCACGGAAGUUAGUUGGGCCAGCAGGUGGUAACCGAAGAAAGGCAGCAGCACCAAAACAGAAGAGGAGAUCACGGCCCUCUCGUCAUCAAUCCUGAAACGCCACAAAGACACACAAAGGCAAACAUUUAAUUUUAGUGAUUACGUAGAAAAAACCCAUGUUGUAUCUUAUUACUGUCUAUGCCAUAACAUGGACGUGUACAGAACCGUACGCACAUGAUGAAACUGUUUUGCUGUAUCUUGGGCUGUAAAACAAAGUCAGCAUGACAUGGCAUAUUGUUUACUUUAACACCUGUGGAACAACUCAGUGGUAGGUUCAACACAAACUCAUGGGCCUUUCUCUGUGAAUAAAAUAUACCAUUGCAUUUACCAUUUAAUGUGAUGACAUGACAACAGGCCCAAAAACACCAGUCUGAGACCAGUUCACGCAUCCAUUAAAAUCCAGGAUGAGGCAUGCUUUUUGCAGCAUCAUGACUUGACACUGACCUUAAGAGCCAAUGAAACUGCUCUAAAUUCACCAACCUGUUUCAAAAUGGAAAGGAUUUCACUCCCAUGAAAAUAAACUAAGCAACAACAAAAACAUCCUCUCACUGUCAACUGCGUUUAUUUUCAGCAAACUUAACAUGUGUAAAUAUUUGUAUGAACAUAACAAGAUUCAACAACUGAGACAUAAACUGAACAAGUUCCACAGACAUGUGACUAACAGAAAUGGAAUAAUGUGUCCUUGAACAAACGGGGGUCAAAAUCAAAAGUAACAGUCAGUAUCUGGUGUGGCCACCAGCUGCAUUAAGUACUGCGGUG